GAUGAACGCUGGCGGCGUGCCUAAUACAUGCAAGUCGAGCGAACGGACGAGAAGCUUGCUUCUCUGAUGUUAGCGGCGGACGGGUGAGUAACACGUGGAUAACCUACCUAUAAGACUGGGAUAACUUCGGGAAACCGUAGCUAAUACCGGAUAAUAUUUUGAACCGCAUGGUUCAAAAGUGAAAGACGGUCUUGCUGUCACUUAUAGAUGGAUCCGCGCUGCAUUAGCUAGUUGGUAAGGUAACGGCUUACCAAGGCAACGAUGCAUAGCCGACCUGAGAGGGUGAUCGGCCACACUGGAACUGAGACACGGUCCAGACUCCUACGGGAGGCAGCAGUAGGGAAUCUUCCGCAGUGGGCGAAAGCCUGACGGAGCAACGCCGCGUGAGUGAUGAAGGUCUUCGGAUCGUAAACUCUGUUAUUAGGGAAGAACAUAUGUGUAAGUAACUGUGCACAUCUUGACGGUACCUAAUCAGAAAGCCACGGCUAACUACGUG
rnacentral:rRNA from 1 species